GGCCGCGUGGCGCAAUGGGCAACGCGUCGGUCUACGGAGCGAAAUGUUGCAGGUUCGAAUCCUGCCACGGUCG
rnacentral:tRNA from 1 species